rfam:Canis lupus familiaris chromosome 6, whole genome shotgun sequence.
GUAGUUGGCCGUACCAUCCUGAAUGUGCCUGACCUCAUCUGAUCUCAGAAGCUAAAGCAGUUUGGGCCUGGUUAGUACUUGAAUGGGAGGAAACCAUGUGGCUAUAGUGU